GGCCAUCUUCUCUUCGGAGGAUUUGGCC
rnacentral:misc_RNA from 1 species